CCUUAGGGUGCACCAGCAGGUUACCUGAUGACUGUGCCCAGAGGUCUGGGGAGCAUAGCAGCAGUGAAGAUGGAAGCAAAGAUGCUGUAUGCCACAAGGUGGAACCUUUGAGAACAGUCUCCAGUUUGGAUGCAAGGACGUCAAAAGAUGAUGGAGGAGUUGAUGAGCAUUGUCUUGGGGAAUUUGGCAUUGUUUUAUUGAACAGUCAAGAAGCAUUUAUGACCAGGACUCCAGAGAACUGAUAAGGAAGAAUGCUACCUACCCCCUGACAGAAGGAUGCAACCAAGGUGCAACCCAAGACGUACAUUUUUGGACAUGGCCAAUGUGAAAACGUGUUUUGGUUGACCACGCAUUAUCUGCUAUAGGGGGUUUUGUUUUCCCUUCUUUCUUUCUUUCUUUCUUUUUUUUUUUUGGCUAGGCAAUGGG